GGAUAGCUCAGCCAGUAGAGCAUGAGACUUUUAACCUCGGGGUCAUGGGCUCAAGCCCCAUGUUGGACA